CCUGAGAACUAAAAAUCCUGAUUUGUUCCCCAAUCCCAAAGACGUAUGCCUCUUGGAAAUUUGAAAACACCAAGCAGUGGAAGAUAUAGUACCACCAAAUGGCUGAAAUGACCACAGUCAGAAAUAUUUGGUGAAUAGUACUAAGUACAACCCAAAUGGCUGCAUCCUCGGACUUUCAUCUAAGCCUGAAGAGGGCAAGAGAGCCAGCAAUGUCUCCCUGAAUGGGACUACGGGGGACCCUGGUAACGGCACCUCAUUCAGCAACUUGAGAAACAUCAGCAAUAUUACUACAAGCAAUCACUUAGGUGCUUGACUGUGGACAGGAAUACAAGACAUGUGGAACACACUGGCAUUCAUUUUUAAAGGAUGAUUUCACCUUAAGAGGUGAGGCUGCCUACUGCCACUGCCUUCAACUCUGCCCUAAGGCACUGUGCACACACUUGACCUGCAUGCAACGCAUGUGGCAAUGCUAAAAUGUUAAUGCACUUGGAAGUGGCUUUCACGCAAUGAGAG